GGGAGGAGUUAUAUCAAACAGAAGCCUCAAAGCUGAUCUUCCUGCACACAUUUCAGUUCGUUUUGAUGUUAUCUAUUUGAAUCAUUCAAGAUAGUAGGGCUCCUCUUCGCACAAAGCCGAAAUUAUUGUACACUGAGCUACAUUAGUUUAUUAAAGUGUUUGCAUAAUUACACUGGUCGUGCUUCACUUGCAAAUAUUCUUAAUUUAACGGCUAAAAUUCUCCAUAUCCCAGAAUCUUUAUAAAGGAACAUAAGCCUUUGCUUCCUCGGAGUUUCCGCAACAAUUUCUUAACUGAAAUAUGAAGAGAUAAAUCCAACAUAUUGAGUUGAGUUAAUCAACAGACUCCAAAUCGAUUUAUAAGAUUGUAGAUAAAUUUCUUUAGUUUCGACAGUAGAUACCUCGGCUGGUACAGAAACUACUAACUCUACUCCCUCAGUUUAAGCACUAAGGUUGAAAUCAAAAUGCCACAGGAGAGACUCUCAGGGGAUAAAUAAAAUAACGAAAGUCUGAAAUAAACAACCUAGAAUUAGGUAUAUUAAUUUCAAGGAAAUGCGCACCAAGAAAAUGUAUUCUCGCUUCUGCGCAUGAGGCCUGGCAAAUGCGCCUGUGAAUAAAGUCUCACAAACUCAAAAUUAUACUCGGUGGAAAAACGUUGCUCAUCAACUUUGAGAUAAAAGAUGGCAGGGUUUCAGGGACCGGAGCCAUCGUCAAGAUUUUGUGACAUAAUAAAUGUUGGAAGGAAAGAAAGAGGACAAAGAAUUCGACCUCAUGAUGUAACAAUAUUCUACAAGUUUAACUCGGGAAGAGGAUAGUUUGAAGUCCAGGGAGGAAUCAUUUUCGACUCGACACAGCGCUACGGACGACACACAAUAACAGUUGUUGCGGCGCGCGGAUACACAUUUGGCUUCACUCGUGAUUCUGGGGGCGAAUUUCAGUUCACCACUUCACAAGAUAACAUUUGGGGAGAAAGAUUGGACCGUGUGAACUUAUGAAAUCGAGAAAAUACUCCUUCUGCUUGAUCUUCUUCUUGGAUCGCUCAAAGGGGACCGCAAUUGACAAGAGCUCGCCAGACAGUCCAUUCAUUUAACUUCAUUAAAACAUUUCACUGAGUUGUUAUGUGAAUAAAAAUCAUGUUGACUACAGUAAACAACACGAAACGUUCAUCCUUGUAUGUCUAUUGGUAAAAACUAUUGUCGCAAGAGCAUGAAAUCAACUCUGUAAGCUUUAAAAACGACAAAUCUCCACAUAACAGCGAUUAACCACAAAUUA